rnacentral:lncRNA from 1 species
ACAAGAAAAAGAGAAGGAAAAGAAACAGGGAGAUCUCUACCGGACUUUAUUGGACAAGAGCUCAUCCCUGUGUAAGGACCCCUCCUCCCUAUCUUGCUUUUUUUUUAGUUGUUUCUUAUUAUUAACAAGUUAUACCUUAGGUUUGCUGAGUUCCCCUCUUUGGUAUACCAACUAUAUACAAUCUGUCAUAAAUGCUAAACUUUGCUGAAGGCAAUCAGCUCCUUCAUGCAGCUGUUCUCUCGUUGGCUGAUGUGGAUCCAACCUUAUGAUGGAGGAUGAAAGCUCUUGUUGUGGGACAAGUAAUGAUGUUGUUUGUUAUUGCUACUUCAGCAUCAAAUGAAAAGAUUUAGACUAAGGUGAGUAGAUUAUUUAUUUAUCUAUAUUUGCGUCAUUGAACUGGUGAUUGGACGUGGAACUUUUUCCAAGCUUCCUCCUCAGCUGAUAUGCAUGUUUCGAUUGAAGUCAUUAGGAUCUUUCUUAUUAUCAAAUUUCACUUGAUCAUUGAGCUAAUCACCAAAGAAGCAAGGUUGGUGGGGGGUUUGGGGAACUAAAAGAAAAGAUAAAGGUGAAAGCAAUCUCAAUUUUGGUGACCUUAUCUUUGUUUUCUCUCAGACAAACCAUUUGCUUUUCUCGUGCAUGCAUUGAUGUCUUGCGUAUUAUGCUAUUGGCCAGCCUUUUAUCCAAUGUCUGAUCGUGUUGCUUAUUUCUAUAUUCAACCCUCCGCUCCUAGAUCCUUACCGGUACCACACCUUAAGGUGCAACUUGAUACUUUAGCUAUGAACAGUCUAUUCUCAUUAAGCAAAAUAGAAAAUACAAAAUGUAUAUAUACUAACCCUAAUACAGAAGAGAAAUAAUAAAACUACCCUUAGAAGGCUAACAAAAAUACAUAUAUAUUACAUUCACCCCCUUCUCAAACCAGGAUGCUAGAGAGAGAGCAUCGAGAGUUUGUCAAGGAGGAAAACGGAGGCGCAGCAGUAAGUAAUGUGAGUUUUUGUGAAGAAGUCGAACAGCCUAUAGAGUGGUGGAAACAAAAGCAAGAAAAUCUGAAUCAGUAAGAUCAUAUCAUAACAUACAGUAGGAAAAGAACAGUCCAUGAGAAUGUGACGGGCAAAAGAGCUGAAUCAGAACACUAGGCUGGAGCCAAUCUAAAGAACAACAGUCUGCAAAAUGUGCAUACCAGCAUGAGGAGACUGUUCAAAUUAUAGAGAGCACAUAGACACAAGACGUGAAAAGGAGAAGAAAAAUCCAGGAGGGAGGACGCAUAUAAUCCUCUUCAGAAUGAUACCAUUAAGGAAAGCGUUUCUUCACAUUCUAACUGAUAAGUGUCCCAAUGAUGCACUGCAGAACAAAAAUGAAAGUGCGAACAGUGGUCAUUUUGGAUCAGGGCAAAGUCUCCUCAUAAUCUAUCACAUACUCUUGAGAAAAGCCAUGAGCACUAAGCGAGACUUUAUAUCGCUAUAAAGAACCACAAGAUUGAGUCUUCACCUUGUAAACCCAUUUGCAGCCAAUAAAGAUUUUUGCCAUACGGGAGUGUGGAGUCAACUCCAAGUUGAGUUUUUUAAGCAAGUACAGUAAGCUCAUCAUUCAUAGCAUCCAGCCAAUGAGGAUCGUUACAGCUUCUUGUUGAACCUGCGCUCAAAGUAAUUAUGAUACGAGAGAGAAAACAAUGAUAAGUAAUUAUGCCACACCAGCCAAAUGUAUUACAAUUCUUCCAAAAAUACAUAUAUAUUGCGUCUCUCAAAAUAGAAUAAUACAGCAUUCCACAUGCGAUGCAAAACUCAGGAUAACUCAGUACUUGCAAAAUCAUUUUAUAGCAAGGUGAGUACCUUUAAAGAUUUAAACAAUGCCACUUGAUGUCUUAAGCAAACCAUAAUACAUAAUCAUAUAAUGGAAAACAGAAUGCAAUAAAGUAUGCUUUCAUUCAUAUCAAAAUAUUACUUUUGAUUUUAAAUCCGUGAUUUCACAAAAUCUUCCAUGAGUUUUCAAAAGAUCCCCCCCCCCAUUGGCUUUCUCAAACGCAUUAUCAUUCAAAUUCACAAUUUCUCAAUUUUUGGCUUUCUCAAAAAGCAAUAACCCAUUCAGGAUUUCUAAAAUCAACAGGUUCUCAAAAUUUACGGCUUUCUCUAAAAAAAUAAUAACAUUUAGAAUAACAAACCUAGAAACGCAACUUCCCGAACUUUCACCGAAGGGGAGGGCUUACCUACCGUCGCUUAACAUCCAGACUUUCACCGAAGUAAGACAUUCCCUACGGAUGCAAUUGACAUCUAGGACUUUCAAUUCGGUCAAUUUCUCGACUUUCACCGAAGGGAAGGCAUUCCCUACCGUAUCCGUUGCAUCUAGGACUUUUAAUUCGCGUCAACUUCUCGAAAAUUUCACCGAAGGCCUAAAGACCGUACCCAAACGUAUCGUCAACUUUCCAAACCAUUCCAAAUUUCAGUUUCAACAUAUAUCAAUACCAUUGACCCUACCGGUUUUAAUGAAACAAUAUAAUAUGCAUGGAUAUUAAACGUCAUAAUAUGCAUUAUGAAAUUCAUUUCGAAUGCAUUUGUUAUAAUCAAAGUACAUAACCAUAGCCAUAAAUCAAAUGUCGCCUUUACAAUUUCUAUAUAAAUCAAGUUUUUUGUUCCCAUUUCAAUUUUCAAUACUCAAAAUAAUGUGUCAAUCGUCCUUAUAUAAGCUAUUUCAACAACAAACCUUCCCCCAAAAAGUUAAAAAAACCCCCAACUAACUAACCCCCUUUAUCUCAAUUAUAUGGAGAAAAUCCAAGAAAGGUUGAGAAGAGAUAUUUUCCCUCCGCUCUCAUCUGAUCUCUAUCUUUCUAUCUUUUUUCCUCUCUUUCUCGUUCUUUACACCGAACUCUCCUCAUCUUUCGUUCUUCCUCUCUACCCUUCCUCUCGUUAAUAAAAAAAAAAAUAUACAUCUAAAUCUAUAUAAAUAUCUUAGGGUAUUGGAGUUUACUUUUUUCAUUUUCUACUUUCCGGCGCCUGUCGGUGUCAGAGUCAAUUUUUUUUUAAUAAAAUUAUACUUUAGCCCCUCCAACGGAAAUUUCUUUUUAAUCUUAUCCCAAAGGUUCUGAAUUCUUCAAUUUAAACCAAGGUAACAUACCCUUGGGCCCCCUAACCCACAUGUGGCCCACGUAACUUUACAUGGAUCCCAAUUAUCCUUUCCAAAUUCCCAAAAUAUCUCUCUUAUAUAAACAAAAGUUAAAGCCGUACAACCAAGAGGGGUGUGAUCGUUUUGGGCAUAAUGGCAAGCUUCACCAAGUGUUAUCGGACUAUUUGAGAUUCUAGCCGUAGUGGGUCAGGGGCUUAUCAACUGCUUUGCCACCGAGAUUGGCAAAUGUGCAUAUGGGUUUCAUAUUUUUCAUGUUGCGGAAUUAUGAGCCCGAUCAUUCACUGUUUUUUUUUUUUUGUGAUUGUGGAGAUCUUUAUUCAAUGAAGAUACACAUCUGAGGACGACCAUUCGCGUAUUGGACACGUCGUGAACAAGUUGUCUUGAGGGAAAACCAUUCCAUCGGUGAUGUCUUGUGGCUGCAUCACGGCAUGGAGAAGUUACGUGGAACCCGAGCCGAGGGUCGCGCCGAAGUAUCCCAUCUUUUUUAAUAUAUCUGGUACGUUUGUCUAAUAUCGUGGACGAGAUUUCUUUAAGAGGUGGGAGGUUUUAAGUUUCAAGCUUUUUUUAAACAUGUUAUAGAUAACUUUGGACUUUGGUAUAAUUGAAUAAUGGGAUCCAUGUUAAGGUUAAUGGGCCACAUGUGGGUUAUGGGCCCAAGUGUAUGCACCUGGUUUUACAUUGAAAGAUUCAUAACUUUUGGUAUAAGAUUCAAAAGAUAUUUAAGUUGGAGGGGCUGAAGUAUAAUGUGAUUAAAAAAUUGACUCUGCACCGAAAGGGCAGAAAGUAAAAAGGAAAAGUAAAAUAAAAUAAAAUACGAUAUUUAUAUAGAUUUAGAUGUCUAUCUCCAUCGCGCCGGGUAGGAGGAAGAAAGAACAGAUAGCGCUUUCUGUGUAAAGAACGAGAACGAGAGGAACAAAGCUAGAAAGAUAGAGAUCAUCUGAGAGGGAGGAAAUAUCUCUUCUCACCUUUUUCUUGGAAAUUUUUCUUCCAUAUAAUUUGAGAUAAGGGGGUUAGUUAGUUUGGUUUUACUUUGAGGUUUGUUUUAAUAGCGUCCUAUAAAGACUAUUGAAACAUUAUUUUGAGUAUUGACUGGAAUGGGGAAAAAACUUGAUUUAAAUUAAGAAAUUGUAAGGGACAUUUGAUUUAUGGCUAUGGUUUAAUGUCCUUAUUAUAACAAAUGCAAUUCGAAAUGAUUUUCAAUAAAUGCAUAUUAAUGACGUUAUAAUAUCAUUCUAUUAUAUUGUUUUACAUUAAAACGUAGCAAAUGUAAGUGAUAUAUGUUUGACUUGAAAUUUGGACAUGGUUGUGGAAGUGGACGAUACUUUGGGAAGGUCUUUAGAGCCUUCGUGAAAGUCCGGAAUUUGACCGAAUUGAAAGUCCUAGAUGGCAACGAAUACGACAGGAAUCCUCCCUUCGGUGAAAGUCCGAGAAGUUGACUGAAUUGAAGUCCUAUAUGUCAAUUGAAACGGUAGGGAAUGCCGUGUACCUUCGUUAAAUCCGAAAGUUGCGAUCCUACGUGUGUGUAUUCUAAUGGUUAUUGCUUUUUUUUUGUUGAAAAAGUCGGGAUUGAUAACUUGUUUGAUAUGAGAAAUCCUGAAUUGGGUUGUAUUGCUUUUUUGAAAAAGCUGAAAAUUGAGAAAUUGUUGAAUUUGGACAAUGAAAAUGUUUUUUGAGAAAAGCCCUGGAGGAUUGAAAACUCAUGGAAGAUUUUGUGAAAUCACUGAUUAAAAUCAAAAGUAUAUUUUGAUAUGAAGAAAGUGAUACUUUAUUGCAUUAUGUUUUUUAUUAUAUGAUAUGUAUCAUGGGUUUUGCUUAAGAUCUCACGUCCGUUGUUAAAUCUUUACAGGUAACUCCCAAUUUACUAUAAAAUGAUUUUCAGAUACCAAGGUUAUCCUGAGUCUUGAGGCAUGUGGAUGGGGUAUUAUAAUAUUUUUAUUUUGAGAGACUCAUAGAUAUGUAUUUUUGAAGAAUGUAAUAUUUCAGUUGGCCGGUGUUGGAUUGCUAUGGGUUCUUCUGGGUUUGUAAUUUGGUAUCUUAUAGAGAGGCAUGGUCCCACGGGUAGGGAUUGUUUGUACUCUAAUGUAAUGACAAUACACUGUCAUAUUAUUUAGUUUGACUUUUCCGUAUUUGAGUUGUUUGCUUACGCGGCGGGCUUGGGGUUGACGGGCGUGAUAACAUGUUAUCAGAGCUCUAGGUUCGAAUACCUAUGAGCGUGGGGGGUGGUUAGCACAAUUGUUUUGGUGUCUAGUCAUUGAGGAUAACGUGAGUGUUAUACAUGUGAUUGAGACACAUAUACAAAACUCUAGUUCGAAUACCUAAGAGUCCUUUAAGGUGUUAGACCACGUCUGUUGUUCUGAGUCUAAGUGGAAUGACUAACGCAGUGUGUGCGAGUGAUGUGAUGAGAAUAACAUGAACAAAUACAUGAUAUCUUGUGAUGAAUUACAUAUGGUAUGGCUAGUGUUAUGACUGAAUCAUGAGUAAUAUGAUUGUCCAAUUAUUUUUCUUGGUUGGCAUUGUGUGAAUGCACCAUCAUCAACGCGAGAGGUUUGGGCGAGUCACUUACCAAGAGCUCGGGCGGUUCGUGUGAGCCUCGUGGGCUCGUAGAAAUCCGUGAUGAGGGAGAUGAUGUGUAUCGACCAAGAGGAGUGGAGGUGAUGAGGAGGGCAAGUGCUCCUGGAGGAAAUAUGAAGGUGCUCCACCAACGGUUUUGGGUGGCACCAGGCACCGAAUUUUGCAUAGUGUUCACCACCAGUGAACAAGUGGUGAGGAACACGGUGCAGACGAUGCAAGUUCCGGUUAGAGCGAUGGACUCUAGGGCUACUGUGGCCCAUGAAGGCUUUUUUACACUUCGCCGCCUACCUUUGAGGGCACGAAACAUAUCACGUUAGUUGCGGAAGAUUGCUUGAAUAAUCACAGAGCGUUAGAUCGAUUUGGUGAUGAGGAUGAUAUGAUGGUGUUUUUUUUUUGAUCCUAUCAAUUACAAGGGGAUGCCCUCCACACGCCAACCCCCCCCCCAAAAACAACAACAAUGUUGGAAGACCGUGGAGGAUGGGUGGAUCAUAAGUGGGAUGCCUUUUAAAAGUCAUUUCUAUAUCAUAUUUUACUGACACUGCAAGUGAUGCACUACGAUGGAUUCAUCCAAUCUAAGUGCAGGGGAAAUACGACUGUGGUCUCAGUAUGAUGCCAAGUUCACAUCUGUCAAGGUUUGCGAGGGCCGUCCGUUUCGAAACAGAGGAUAAAGGCAAACAAUUUAUUAGGGGACUUGAGGUCCUGCCAUAAGUAACAAGAAUUGUAGGACUUUAAGAUAUGUGGAAAUUUGAUCAAAGUGUACUCACCAUGGUUAGCUUUGCGUGGCCAUUGAGGAGCCCCAUGAAUGCGCCGUAUGCAGAUUGUGAAUCCGAAAUCUCAACGUGUAGGGGACUAGUAACCCAUCUGAGGGGCGUUCUUUUAAGAAGCCAAAAGAUUACUACACAUUGUCAGUUCCGGUGAUGUCUCACCCGCCAUUUCUUUCUUUCCUUCUCAUCUGGCCAGACAUCUCGGGGAGCCGAGUUGUUUUUUGGUUGUCACGAGUUUGGUCAAUCGUUGUUUCGGACUGCCCACUAAGAGGGCAACUAAGUGCAGUCACAACAGGUGGAAUCCCAGGGCAGACGCCCUGGACACUCACAGGUUAUAUGCCACCCACUUGUUUUUCAUUGUAGUCCCAUACCGACAAUGCACACAGAUGAGCCAACACUCAAGAGUUUCAGGAUCACUGCAACCUGUUCGAUCAGUUCAAGCCUUGAGGCUUCAAGCAAUUACAUCAGACAGAACCUUCGUAUCGUCCGGACCACAGGCUGUAGCUAGCAAGGUCGUCGGAGCCUCGAGGGAGAAAUAGUCCUCAAUCAUAGUCAGGCGGCUGUUCGCCGAGCUAGAAUCGCAGAGAAACGUUGGUUGUCGGAGCUGGACGAGAUUUUGUGCGGAGAUCGGAUGUCUGAGAAUCUGAAAAUCUUCGCCAGAGGUCGAGGAUAUGCGGCGGCACGGGCACAGGGUCAGUUAGGGUUUAGGCUCUAUCCAUGAUACAAUGCUUGGGUAGAACUAUCCCAAAGCCUCGCUGUGUAGGAAAGGGUGCCCCUACAUUUAUAUAUUGCACAUCAGUUCAAUAGCUCACAAGCGUGUAGACGUCGCAUCACACCCUCCUCCCUCCACUCCAGCGUGCGCACUCGGCAGCACCUGCCACUGCAGACCAGGGAUACGCACCCUACCCAUCCCUGGGAGUCCCAGCUCUGAUACCAUGGACUUUAGCUGAACAGUCUAUUCGCAGUAGGCAAAAGAGAACAUACAAAAUGUAAAUAUACAUCCCUAAUAAGAUAAAAGAAAUACUAAACUACCCUUGUGUGUCUAACAAAA